rnacentral:rRNA from 1 species
AACGUAGGUUCCGAGCGUUAUCCGGAUUUACUGGGCGUAAAGCGCGUUCAGGCGGUUUGGCAAGUCGGGCAUGAAAUCUCUCGGCUCAACCGGGAGAGGUUGUCCGAUAUUGCUGGACUUGAGGGCAGUAGAGGGUGGUGGAAUUCCGGGUGUAGUGGUGAAAUGCGUAGAUAUCCGGAGGAACACCAGUGGCGAAAGCGGCCACCUGGACUGCACCUGACGCUGACACGCGAAAGCUAGGGGAGCGAACGGG